GGUGUCUUAUUUGGAUGUGCGGGUGGAAUUGGAGUCUGGUAAAUUGCAAACGGAUGUGUAUUCAAAACCGACUGAUACACAUCAAUACUUAGACUUCAAGUCUUGUCAUCCUGCACAUGUGAAGAAGGCAAUCCCCUAUGGUCAGGCGCUAAGAUUAAAACGGAUUUGUAGUUCGGAAAAAGUUUUUCAGGAUAGGCUUAAAGAAAUGGAAGGUCAUUUUAUAAAGCGAGGAUUUAACAAAAAGUUGGUUAAGGACCAGUUUUCUGAGGUUAAAGUUAAGGAUAGGGCUGAAAUGUUACGCCAAACGGAUAAGAGGAAGAAUUCUAACUUGAGUAAUAGAGUACCACUGGUAGUAGAAUUUCAUCCGGCAUUAAAGGAAAUUAAUGGAAUUGUGGAAACACUUUGGCCGAUUCUGGAGACAUCGGAGAGGAUGAGGGAUGUCUUCGGUAGUAGGCCGAUUGUUUCAUAUAAGAGACCAAAAAAUUUAAAAGAUAGUUUGGUUAGAUCUAAGGUUAAAAAGGCUAGGGAGGUAAGUGUAGGGAUGAGUAAGUGUAAUAAGAAUCGUUGCCAGAUUUGUAAUUAUGUAGAUGAGGGAAAAGAAUUUCUCGAGGGAAAAGUAAAAUACUACAUUAAUUACAACUUUGAUUGCGAUUCGGCUGGGGUGAUUUAUUUGAUUUAUUGUAGAAAAUGUGGGAAAAAGUAUGUGGGG